rnacentral:lncRNA from 1 species
AUGGUAACAGACACUACAUUUCCAGUAGUUGUUUCAGCAGUAACUGCAACAGUUGAAACACCUGUUAUGAUCCCAGUAGUAGAAAGUCCAGUAGUAAAGCCAGCUCCAUUUGCAGUGGUUGAGACACCAGUUUUGACUCCAGUGACACAGACACCAUGUCAGGUUUUAGUGGCAGUACCAGAAGCUACUCCUCCAGUAGUUGUUUCAGCAGUGACUGCAGCAGCAGAAACACCUGUUGUGAUCCCAGUAGUGGAAACUCCAACUCCAGUUGUAGUGGCAGAGACACCAGUUGUAACACCAGUGAUGAUGACACCAACUGUGACUCCAGUAGCGGAAAGGUCAGUUGUGAGCCUAGUACUAGAAACUACCACAGAAGCACCAACUGCAAUUGCAAUGGCAGAGAGACCUGUUAUGAUCCCAGUGGUACAGACACCAGCUCUAGUUUCAGGGAUUGCAAAAGAGGCUGCACCUCCAGUAGUUCUACCAGCAAUGACUGCAGGAGUAGAAGUAAAGCCACCAGUGGCAGAGACACCAUUUUCAUUACCAGAAGUGCCUGCUGCGAUCCCAGCAGUGCAAACACCAGUUACAGAGCAGGUAGCACAGACACCGACGACACCAGCCAUGCUCUUGGUAAAGGCAACAUCAGUUGUAACUGGGAUGGAGGCACCCACUGUGACUACAUUAGAAAAGGCACGACAGAAGACACCAGUAGAAGAGACACCUACUUUAUCCCCUGUGAUGAUGGCACCAGCUAUUGCCGCAGUUGUAGUAGCAACAGCGCCACCUGUUGCUACACCAGAAGUAAAGAAAGCAAUGUUGCAGGUAGUUGAACAGGAGAAAAAGGAAGCAAAGUCAGAGGCUUCAGUUGUGUCUAAAGAUGUUGAACCACCAUUUGUGGCUGCGAAAGAGGUAAAGACAUCAGUUUUAACUCAAGAGUGUAUAUCAGAUGAAGAAAAUGGGAAGGUUUCCUUGCGGCAUACUUCAACAGAACCUCAGUCAGAGGUAGAGGAGGAUGUGUGGGAGGAUGCUGUAGAUAAUAUUGGAGAUUCCCCGUGUCAGGUGACACACACAGAGGAUGCACCCCAAGAUACUGCUGCUAAACAAAUAUCUGAUGCUGCAAUUUGA